UCCUGGCGACUAUAGCGGUUUGGAACCACCUGAAUCCAUCUCGAACUCAGAAGUGAAACGUACAUGCGCCAAUGAUAGUGUGAGGCUUCCUC
rnacentral:rRNA from 1 species